GAUUAACGCUGGCGGCGUGCAUAACACAUGCAAGUCGAACGAUAAUACUUAACUGAUUUCUUUGGAAUGAACUUAAGUGGAUUAGUGGAGGACAGGUGAGUAACGCUUGAGUAACCGGCCUUACACAAGGGGAUAUCCGUUGGAAACGACGUAUAAUACCCUAUGAAACUAUCGCUUCGCAUGAGGCGAUAUUCAGAGUGGUAGCGGUGUAAGAUGGACUUGCGUCUGAUUAGCUGGGUGGUGAGAAAAAGGCUCACCAAGGCAACGGUCAGUAGCCGGCGUGAGAGAGUGUACGGCCACAUAGGGACUGAGGCGCGGCCCAGACUCCUACGUGAAGCAGGAGUGGGGAAUUGUGGAAAAUGGGGGAAACCCUGAUGCAGCGACGCCGGGUGAUUUAGAAGGCCCUUGAGUGGUAAAAAUCUUUUGUAUAGGAAGAAAAUGAGAGUACUAGACGAAUAAGGGCCGGCUAAUUACGUG
rnacentral:rRNA from 1 species